GCCUGGUGUGGUGGCCCACACCUGCAUUCCCAGCUACUGGGGAGGCUGAUGGGGGAGGAUUGCUUGAGCCCAGGUGUUCUGGGCUGCAGAGCACUAUGCAUCAAUAUGGGGGCCUCCUGGGGAGUGGGGGACAACUGGGUUGCCUGAGGAGGGGUGAACCAGCCAAGCCAGAGAUGGGUCAAGUCAAAACUCCUGUGCUGCUCAGUAGUGGGAUUGCACUUGUGAAUAGCCGCUGCACUCCAGCCUGGGAAACAUAGCCAGACCCUGUCU
rnacentral:SRP_RNA from 10 species